AUGUCCGAAGUUGGAUGCUUGAUUGGUCUGGGAGUUGUCAACAACGUGCUGCAUAGUCAGAGGUUGGCCAUAUCGGGAGGUUUGUGGUGGGUCGAUAGAUCGAGGUGAAGAAACGGUGACGGGGUUGGAUGUUUCCUUCCCGCUUUCUAGAAUCCUUGGUCUUUUGCAAAGCUGUGGACCUCGCAUUCGCCGGUGCUAAUGGCCUGACUCUCAGCUCGCGGUGUCAAUACGCCACGAGACGCUUUUCCGGCGCCAGUGAUUUUUAGGUUUCCGAUUUGCUUCAGUCUUUGUUCCUCUAUAUCUUGUGGCCCGGCCCAAUUGGGGGUUUUAAAUAAAUAGGCCCGUUUAAAAAAUAAAACUUAUAAGUAGUUGAUACUAAUCAUUUUAACUUUUCAAAAAAAUAAAAUAUAUUUAUUAUAUA
rnacentral:lncRNA from 1 species